GAUGAACGCUGGUGGCGUGCCUAAUACAUGCAAGUCGAGCGAACGGACGAGAAGCUUGCUUUUCUGAUGUUAGCGGCGGACGGGUGAGUAACACGUGGAUAACCUACCUAUAAGACUGGGAUAACUUCGGGAAACCGGAGCUAAUACCGGAUAAUAUUUUGAACCGCAUGGUUCAAAAGUGAAAGACGGUCUUGCUGUCACUUAUAGCUGGAUCCGCGCUGCAUUAGCUAGUUGGUAAGGUAACGGCUUACCAAGGCAACGAUGCAUAGCCGACCUGAGAGGGUGAUCGGCCACACUGGAACUGAGACACGGUCCAGACUCCUACGGGAGGCAGCAGUAGGGAAUCUUCCGCAAUGGGCGAAAGCCUGACGGAGCAACGCCGCGUGAGUGAUGAAGGUCUUCGGAUCGUAAAACUCUGUUAUUAGGGAAGAACAUAUGUGUAAGUAACUGUGCACAGCGUGACGGUACCUAAUCAGAAAGCCACGGCUAACUACGUG
rnacentral:rRNA from 1 species